GUUAGUUAUCGACGUGAUUUCGUAUUACAAAGUUGUGUAUGGACAUAUAUGUUUCAUUUCUAAUCAACAAUAAGUGAAUGUUUUGUACGUAGAUCGUGCCGAAAUUCGCAAGUGACGCAAGUGCAUUUUACUUUUAUACGUCAUUUCUUCUAAGAAAAAAUAAUCAAUAUCAAAAUCCCAGAAUGACGUAAUAUAUUUUAUUUUCUUCGCAACUUGUAAAUAACCGAGACUCCACUAUAUAGAACUCUAUAAAUUAUCAACGUGUUGACCACAUCAUAAAUCAUUAAUAAGCAUCAAAUGAUACUGUAAAUCUAUCAAAACCAUUGGACAUUUCAACCACAGCAUAGUCAUAAAAAAACGUUGUCUACAAACUGCAUAAUAUUAUGCAAAGGCAAUAUGUAUAUUAAUGGAUGACGAUUGUUUUUCCCGUCGAGUUGGGCAAAGUUGCGGUUACAAAUUGUUACGUAUGAAAACGAAACAAUAUCCUAGAAAUAUAGAUGCAUCGAAUCCAAGGCUGUAAUUAACAACACAUAAUGUCAUUGUUUAAUUCGUCAAUAGAGCAGUUUUUCGUAAUUAUUAUGCAGAAUAAUUCAGUUCCUCGAGAAGAUCGUAUAUUACAUUGUUUGUAUGACGCAUUGGAUUCCAAGGCGAUCGACUUAAUCGCUGUUUAUGCGCGAAAUUUGGAGCACGUGCUUUCGCUUAGAGGUACUAGUUACGUCAACUUUCUCGUGCUAAACGACGAGUUAGACAAGGAUGAGUCAUAAAAUAAUAAACGAAUUACAAUGAUCGACAGGGUCAUAAUUGCGUAAAUUGAUCCAUUAAAUCUAUAGACAAGAAGAUUAGAA